rnacentral:rRNA from 1 species
UACAGAGGGGGCAAGCGUUGUUCGGAAUUACUGGGCGUAAAGGGCGCGUAGGCGGCCCGCUAAGUCGAACGUGAAAUCCCCAGGCUCAACCUGGGAACUGCGUCCGAUACUGGCAGGCUUGAAUCCGGGAGGGGGAUGUGGAAUUCCAGGUGUAGCGGUGAAAUGCGUAGAUAUCUGGAGGAACACCGGUGGCGAAGGCGGCAUCCUGGACCGGUAUUGACGCUGAGGCGCGAAAGCUAGGGUAGCAAACGGG